rnacentral:rRNA from 1 species
AACGAACGCUGGCGGCAUGCCUAAUACAUGCAAGUCGAACGAUCCUUUCGGGGAUAGUGGCGCACGGGUGCGUAACGCGUGGGAAUCCGCCCUUGGGUUCGGAAUAACUUCGGGAAACUGAAGCUAAUACCGGAUGAUGACGUAAGUCCAAAGAUUUACCGCCCAGGGAUGAGCCCGCGUAGGAUUAGCUAGUUGGUGGG